UACGUAGGUGGCAAGCGUUGUCCGGAUUUACUGGGCGUAAAGGGCGCGUAGGCGGCCUUCUAAGUCGAACGUGAAAUCCCCGGGCUCAACCCGGGAACUGCGUCCGAUACUGGAAGGCUUGAAUCCGGGAGAGGGAUGUGGAAUUCCAGGUGUAGCGGUGAAAUGCGUAGAUAUCUGGAGGAACACCGGUGGCGAAGGCGACAUCCUGGACCGGUAUUGACGCUGAGGCGCGAAAGCCAGGGGAGCAAACGGG
rnacentral:rRNA from 1 species